UUCCCAGACUCCUACGGGAGGCAGCAGUGGGGAAUAUUGCACAAUGGGCGAAAGCCUGAUGCAGCGACGCCGCGUGAAGGAUGAAGUAUUUCGGUAUGUAAACUUCUAUCAGCAGGGAAGAAAAUGACGGUACCUGACUAAGAAGCCCCGGCUAACUACGUGCCAGCAGCCGCGGUAAUACGUAGGGGGCAAGCGUUAUCCGGAUUUACUGGGUGUAAAGGGAGCGUAGACGGCGAUGCAAGCCAGAUGUGAAAGCCCGGGGCUCAACCCCGGGACUGCAUUUGGAACUGUGUGGCUGGAGUGUCGGAGAGGCAAGUGGAAUUCCUAGUGUAGCGGUAAAAUGCGUAGAUAUUAGGAGGAACACCAGUGGCGAAGGCGGCUUGCUGGACGAUGACUGACGUUGAGGCUCGAAAGCGUGGGGAGCAAACAGGAUUAGAUACCCCCGUACA
rnacentral:rRNA from 1 species